GCAAGUCGAGCGAGAAAGCACUUCGGUGCGAGUACAGCGGCGGACGGGUGAGUAACGCGUAGGAAUCUACCCAGUAGUGGGGGACAACUUGGGGAAACUCGAGCUAAUACCGCAUACGCCCUUCGGGGGAAAGCGGGGGAUCUUCGGACCUCGCGCUAUUGGAUGAGCCUGCGUUGGAUUAGCUUGUUGGUGAGGUAAAAGCUCACCAAGGCGACGAUCAGUAGCUGGUCUGAGAGGAUGAUC
rnacentral:rRNA from 1 species